rnacentral:rRNA from 1 species
UACGUAGGUGGCAAGCGUUAUCCGGAUUUACUGGGUGUAAAGGGCGAGUAGGCGGGAUUGCAAGUCAGAUGUGAAAACUAUGGGCUCAACCGAUAGAGUGCAUUUGAAACUGCAGUUCUUGAGUGCAGAAGAGGAGAGUGGAACUCCAUGUGUAGCGGUGGAAUGCGUAGAUAUAUGGAAGAACACCAGUGGCGAAGGCGGCUCUCUGGUCUGCAACUGACGCUGAGGCUCGAAAGCAUGGGUAGCAAACAGG